rnacentral:rRNA from 1 species
UACAGAGGUGGCAAGCGUUGUUCGGAAUUACUGGGCGUAAAGGGCGCGUAGGCGGUCUUGUAAGUCUCGUGUGAAAUCCCUCGGCUUAACUGAGGAACUGCACGGGAUACUGCAUGACUUGAGAUCGGGAGAGGGAAGCGGAAUUCCGGGUGUAGCGGUGAAAUGCGUAGAGAUCUGGAGGAAUACCGAUGGCGAAGGCAGCCUUCUGGCCUAAUACUGACGCUGAGGUGCGAAAGCAUGGGGAGCAAACAGG